UACAGAGGUCUCAAGCGUUGUUCGGAUUCAUUGGGCGUAAAGGGUGUGUAGGUGGCGCCGUAAGUCGGGUGUGAAAUCCCGGGGCUCAACCCCGGAACUGCAUCCGAUACUGCCGGACUUGAGGACUGGAGAGGUGACUGGAAUUCUCGGUGUAGCAGUGAAAUGCGUGGAUAUCGAGAGGAACACUCGUGGCGUAAGCGAGUCACUGGACAGUAUCUGACGCUGAGGCACGAAGGCCAGGGUAGCGAAAGGG
rnacentral:rRNA from 1 species